UGGGGAAUAUUGGACAAUGGGCGCAAGCCUGAUCCAGCCAUGCCGCGUGAGUGAUGAAGGCCCUAGGGUUGUAAAGCUCUUUCACCGGUGAAGAUAAUGACGGUAACCGGAGAAGAAGCCCCGGCUAACUUCGUGCCAGCAGCCGCGGUAAUACGAAGGGGGCUAGCGUUGUUCGGAAUUACUGGGCGUAAAGCGCACGUAGGCGGAUUGUUAAGUGAGGGGUGAAAUCCCAGGGCUCAACCCUGGAACUGCCUUUCAUACUGGCAAUCUCGAGUCCGAGAGAGGUGAGUGGAAUUCCGAGUGUAGAGGUGAAAUUCGUAGAUAUUCGGAGGAACACCAGUGGCGAAGGCGGCUCACUGGCUCGGUACUGACGCUGAGGUGCGAAAGCGUGGGGAGCAAACA
rnacentral:rRNA from 1 species